rnacentral:rRNA from 1 species
AAGGCCUUCGGGUUGUAAAGCUCUUUUACCCGGGAUGAUAAUGACCGUACCGGGAGAAUAAGCCCCGGCUAACUCCGUGCCAGCAGCCGCGGUAAUACGGAGGGGGCUAGCGUUGUUCGGAAUCACUGGGCGUAAAGCGUACGUAAGCGGCCAUUCAAGUCAUAGGUGAAAGCCCAGGGCUCAACCCUGGAACUGCCUUUGAAACUAGAUGGCUGGAACACGGGAGAGGUGAGUGGAAUUCCGAGUGUAAAGGUGAAAUUCGUAUAUAUUCGGAAGAACACCAGUGGCGAAGGCGGCUCACUGGACCGUUGUUGACGCUGAGGUACGAAAGCGUGGGGAGCAAACAGGAUUAAAUACCCUGGUAGUCCACGCCGUAAACGAUGAUAACUAGCUGUUGGGGCUCUUGGAGCUCCAGUGGCGCAGCUAACGCAUUAAGUUAUCCGCCUGGGGAGUACGGCCGCAAGGUUAAAACUCAAAGG